rnacentral:rRNA from 1 species
AACGAACGCUGGCGGCAUGCCUAACACAUGCAAGUCGAACGAGACCUUCGGGUCUAGUGGCGCACGGGUGCGUAACGCGUGGGAACCUGCCCUUAGGUUCGGAAUAACUCGCCGAAAGGGGUGCUAAUACCGGAUAAUGUCUUCGGACCAAAGAUUUAUCGCCUUUGGAUGGGCCCGCGUUGGAUUAGCUAGUUGGUAGGGUAAAAGCCUACCAAGGCGAAGAUCCAUAGCUGGUCUGAGAGGAUGAUCAGCCACACUGGGACUGAGACACGGCCCAGACUCCUACGGGAGGCAGCAGUGGGGAAUAUUGGACAAUGGGCGAAAGCCUGAGCCAGCAAUGCCGCGUGAGUGAUGAAGGCCUUAGGGUUGUAAAGCUCUUUUACCCGGGAUGAUAAUGACAGUACCGGGAGAAUAAGCUCCGGCUAACUCCGU